rnacentral:ncRNA from 1 species
GGGGAGAAAAACACGGGCCGGUUGGUAGUCCGGCCGCGGCCGCCGGAGCGCCCGCCCCCGGGCGGCCGUCAGUAACCCUCCCUCCCAUGGGUCGUCCCCUCUCCG